AAAAAGACAAACCAUGGUUUCCGUGUCCAACGUUUGACCGUUCGUCUUAUUUGAAGAAAUUAUAAAAAAAUUAAAAAGAUAAGUCACGCAUAAAGUAUUAAUCAUGUUUUAUCAUCUAACAACAAUGAAAAUACUAAUUAUAAAAAAAUUUCAUAUAAGACGGACAGUUAAACGUUGGCACGGGAACCCACGGUUUGCCUUUUU
rnacentral:pre_miRNA from 1 species